GGCAGAUCUUAGAAAGUUUCGUACAUAUAAAGGAAACUCUGUGAGAGACCUACUUAGAGCACUGAGAAAUAAAAAGCAUCAUUAUCAUGAGCUCCCACCAGAGGUUCAGACAGCUCUCGGUGAAGUCCCUGAUGGCUUCGUGGCAUAUUUUACCUCCCGUUUCCCCCGGUUACUGCUUCACACGCAUUCAGCGCUUAGCAUCUGUGCCCCCGAGAGACUCUUUCACCCAUACUACCACCAUCCAUAGAGACAUGCUUGUUUGUUCCUGCACUGGACUGGAGAGGAAAAGUAAGAUCCUUGAGGACUCAACUAAACACUGUUGAUGUAGAAUUCUGCACUUCAGAACUGUGAGCACAUUUCGUUGUAGAGCACUACUGACAAAUUUUACCUAAACAACCUACUGGACUUGCUGAGCGAAAUUUACCCAGGUUUUUUAUGCCUAUGCUUUUACAGAAACGGGUUUUGUAGGUCAGAUUAACCAAAUGAGUUACUGAGUGUAAUAUGGGCUUUUUCAGAGCUGCCAUUGUCGCUGCUGGCUUUAUGAUGUGAACCAAAGAGCAAAGAAAUAAAAAGACCAUAUUUUCUGAUGAGUUAACAUCAGCCAAUAGAUUGACAAAUGUUCUACCAUUUCUGUCAGUUUUAUUUUAAUUCUGACUUUUAACACAGAAGAUUACUGAAUUGCCGUCCAACUACUUAUAUUCUUAAUAGGUAGAAUUUAAAUGGUAUUAAAGUAAAGUAUUUUCAUAUUAAGGACAUUCUUAAAGGAUAGUUCACCGCAAAAUUCUGUCAUCAAACUGUAUAUUCACACGCAUGUUGUUCCAAACUCAUGACUUACUUUCAUCCAUGGAAUACAAAAGGAGAAAGUAUUGAAGACGGUGCAUUUUUAAAUUCGGUUACAAUGAUUGGGGGCAGAAGCUUUUAAGUUUCUAAAAGGGGUGAAAAAUUCUCUAUAAAUAUCAUAAAUGUGGUCUAUCUUGUGUGGGAUGUUCCAGGUGUUCUGAAGCCAUUCAGUAGCUUUAUGUGAGAUUAUGACUGAGAAAAAAAACACUGAGAGUGGUCCCGGGGGCCCCCCCCUUCGGUAGAAAUCUCGUUCCAUGGGGGCCUCCCUGGACUGAGGGUCCCCACACAAUUGCAAGCUUAGUUACAAGCUUAAAAUAAUGAUAAAAGCCAGCACUACAUCCAUUGAUAUUUGCAGAAAUAUGAAGAUCUUUGAUAAUUAGUGGACUAAAAACGAAAAAUGCUAAUUUAUUAUAUUAGUCAAUUUGUACACCAAGUGUACAUGUAUAUGUAUUUGUGUGACUGGGAUUGGGAUUUUUUUCUUUUGAUUUUGCUUUGUGUGGUUUGAAUCGCAGCUUUGUGCUACAUUUAUGGAUCUUUUACAGUCCAUCACACAUUGCAGCUUCAUCCCCAUCGCUCAGUGUUACAGCUUCAAAACACUAAUAUUGUGUUUCCUUGAAGUAUUUUACAGCCUGCUGUACACUAGUU